UCUGCAAUCGUCUCCGCUGUCUCUAUCUCCGUCCGCGAGGCAAGUCGCACGCCUCAGUCACGAACAGCCUCGCCGACGCAGGUCACGCCGCAUCGCACGAAUUCGGCUACGUUGCCGGGCUACUCCCGUCCGCACGUAACUGCUGUUGAACGUCCGAACCGUUCUGCCUUCGUCGAUACCCGCUGUCCCAUUUACGAAUCGCGGACCAGUUCGCGUGCAAAAGUGUUUUGCACAAUGUCUUUUGUGUAGAUCCUGCGGCAACUUCUAUUUAACGUCGAUUGUCAAAGUCUUGUUACAAGAUAUUGGCGACAUCGGUGAUUUGGAGUUAGUGUCCUUGAGUUACGCCUUAAGCUUUGUUGGAGUUCGAUUCUUUACUCUUGGGGUUUGUUUGUUGAAGUUAGUUCGACUAAGGAAUUUUACAUAAAGAUCCAGGCAAAGGUAAUAAAGGCGGCAAACAGGCGAGGGGCAGGAAGGAAG